GACAAUUUGAGCCCUGAGUGUGGCUUUUCCCGACAAAGCCAGCACUCAAUUAUUGGGAAGUGCCUCCCCCAGCCAUUUCUGGAUCCAUCUGAGAAAAAUAAAUAAAGCUGGAGCCCGACUCUUCCGUGAUGAGAUGACAGCGUUGGAUGGAGGAGGAGGUCAGAUGGCUUUGCAAUGCCGCUGGUGGUUCCAUUGUGUCACCAAGAUUGAGAACCAGUGAGCUAGGCUGCUGGACCAGUGGUUCUCAGAGUGAGUCCCCAGACCAGAAGCGUCAGCAUCACCUGGGACCUUGUUAGACAUUCAGAUUCCUGGGUGCCCCCCGCAAGACCUGCCUUAGGUGUGACCCGACCUCAUCGCACACUUCUGGUGUGGGCCCAGCAAUCUGUUGCUCUCCAGGAGAUUUCCAUGUUUGUCCAAGUUUGGGAGCCACUGAGCUGGCCCUUGUCGAGGUGUCAACAGAUGGAAAUCAUGCCAGAUGCUGUGCUGAGAUUCUGCCAUCAAAAUCCAAAAAGGAGCAUUCUGCUUCCCGGCAUUUCUUGCCAAGGAUGAUCUCAGAUUCAUCUGUUCCCUUUCACAGUGAGCAAAGGCCUUGGUUUUAAUAAGGGUGUGGCUCCCCUUCUCCUGUUCCUGAAAUUGGACUGGGUGGGGACA